rnacentral:rRNA from 1 species
GACGAACGCUGGCGGCGUGCUUAACACAUGCAAGUCGAACGAAGUGGCGAACGGGUGAGUAAUACGUGGGUAAACUGCCCUCUUUCUUGGGAUAAGCCUUGGAAACGGUUGCUAAUUCCUAAUAAAGGGGUUUAGGCUUGCGGCCUAUCAGCUUGUUGGUGGGGUGAUGGCCUACGAAGGAGGCGAAGGGUAGCCGGCCUGAGAGGGGGACCAGACACGUUGAGGCUGGGAUACGGCCCAGGCAUCUACGGGAGGCAGCAGUGGGGGGUAUUGAACAAUGGGCGAAAGACUGGUGCAGCGACGACGCGUGGAGGAUGAAGGCUUUAGGGUUGUAAACCUCUUUCGCUAUCGAACGGGUAGGUGGAGAAGAAGCGCCGGCUAACUACGUGCCAGCAGCCGCGGUAAUUC